CCCAGACUCCUACGGGAGGCAGCAGUGGGGAAUAUUGGACAAUGGGGGGAACCCUGAUCCAGCGACGCCGCGUGAGUGAAGAAGUAUUUCGGUAUGUAAAGCUCUAUCAGCAGGGAAGAAAGAAAUGACGGUACCUGACUAAGAAGCCCCGGCUAACUACGUGCCAGCAGCCGCGGUAAUACGUAGGGGGCAAGCGUUAUCCGGAUUUACUGGGUGUAAAGAGUUGCGUAGGUGGCAUAAUAAGUAGCUAGUGAAAUCUGGUGGCUCAACCAUUCAGACUAUUAGCUAAACUGUUAAGCUCGAGACCGUUAGGGGUAACUGGAAUUUCUAGUGUAGGGGUGAAAUCCGUAGAUAUUAGAAGGAACACCAAUAGCGUAGGCAGGUUGCUGGGACGGUUCUGACACUAAGGCACGAAAGCGUAGGGAGCAAACGGGAUUAGAUACCCUAGUA
rnacentral:rRNA from 1 species